CUAUACAUGCAGUCGAGCGAGCCGAACUAAUUGAUUACCUUCGGGUAUGAAGUUAGGGAAGCGAGCGGCGGAUGGGUGAGUAACACGUGGGUAACCUACCCUAUAGUCUGGGAUACCACUUGGAAACAGGUGCUAAUACCGGAUAAAAGGAGAGAUCACAUGAUUUCUUUUUGAAAGGCGGCGUAAGCUGUCGCUAAAGGAUGGACCCGCGGUGCAUUAGCUAGUUGGUAAGGUAACGGCUUACCAAGGCAACGAUGCAUAGCCGAGUUGAGAGACUGAUCGGCCACAUUGGGACUGAGACACGGCCCAAACUCCUACGGGAGGCAGCAGUAGGGAAUCUUCCACAAUGGACGCAAGUCUGAUGGAGCAACGCCGCGUGAGUGAAGAAGGUUUUCGGAUCGUAAAGCUCUGUUGUUGGUGAAGAAAGAUAGUGAGAGUAACUGCUCAUUAUUUGCCGGUAAUCAACCAGAAAGUCACGGCUAACUACGUGCCAGCAGCCGCGGUAAUACGUAGGUGGCAAGCGUUGUCCGGAUUUAUUGGGCGUAAGGCGAGCGCAGGCGGAAAGAUAAGUCAGAUGUGAAAGCCCUCGGCUUAACCGAGGAAUAGCAUCGGAAACUGUCUUUCUUGAGUGCAGAAGAGGAGAGUGGAACUCCAUGUGUAGCGGUGGAAUGCGUAGAUAUAUGGAAGAACACCAGUGGCGAAGGCGGCUCUCUGGUCUGUAACUGACGCUGAGGCUCGA
rnacentral:rRNA from 1 species